GACGAACGCUGGCGGCGUGCCUAAUACAUGCAAGUCGAACGCUGAAGAGAGGAGCUUGCUCUUCUUGGAUGAGUUGCGAACGGGUGAGUAACGCGUAGGUAACCUGCCUUGUAGCGGGGGAUAACUAUUGGAAACGAUAGCUAAUACCGCAUAACAGUGGAUGACACAUGUCAUUUAUUUGAAAGGGGCAAUUGCUCCACUACAAGAUGGACCUGCGUUGUAUUAGCUAGUAGGUGAGGUAAUGGCUCACCUAGGCGGCGAUACAUAGCCGACCUGAGAGGGUGAUCGGCCACACUGGGACUGAGACACGGCCCAGACUCCUACGGGAGGCAGCAGUAGGGAAUCUUCGGCAAUGGGGGCAACCCUGACCGAGCAACGCCGCGUGAGUGAAGAAGGUUUUCGGAUCGUAAAGCUCUGUUGUAAGUCAAGAACGGGUGUGAGAGUGGAAAGUUCACACUGUGACGGUAGCUUACCAGAAAGGGACGGCUAACUACGUG
rnacentral:rRNA from 1 species